GAUGAACGCUGGCGGCGUGCCUAAUACAUGCAAGUCGAGCGAACAGACGAGGAGCUUGCUCCUCUGACGUUAGCGGCGGACGGGUGAGUAACACGUGGAUAACCUACCUAUAAGACUGGGAUAACUUCGGGAAACCGGAGCUAAUACCGGAUAAUAUAUUGAACCGCAUGGUUCAAUAGUGAAAGACGGUUUUGCUGUCACUUAUAGAUGGAUCCGCGCCGCAUUAGCUAGUUGGUAAGGUAACGGCUUACCAAGGCGACGAUGCGUAGCCGACCUGAGAGGGUGAUCGGCCACCCUGGAACUGAGACACGGUCCAGACUCCUACGGGAGGCAGCAGUAGGGAAUCUUCCGCAAUGGGCGAAAGCCUGACGGAGCAACGCCGCGUGAGUGAUGAAGGUCUUCGGAUCGUAAAACUCUGUUAUUAGGGAAGAACAAAUGUGUAGGUAACUAUGCACGUCUUGACGGUACCUAAUCAGAAAGCCACGGCUAACUACGU
rnacentral:rRNA from 1 species